GCUGUGGCGCACUGGUUGGGCCCGUCGCAUCUGCAACCCGUUGACACGGGUUCAAUUCCC
rnacentral:tRNA from 1 species